rnacentral:rRNA from 1 species
AGCGAACGCUGGCGGCAGGCCUAACACAUGCAAGUCGAACGAACUCUUCGGAGUUAGUGGCGGACGGGUGAGUAACACGUGGGAACGUGCCUUUAGGUUCGGAAUAACUCAGGGAAACUUGAGCUAAUACCGGAUGUGCCCUUCGGGGAAAGAUUUAUCGCCUUUAGAGCGGCCCGCGUCUGAUUAGCUAGUUGGUGAGGUAAAGGCUCACCAAGGCGACGAUCAGUAGCUGGUCUGAGAGGAUGAUCAGCCACAUUGGGACUGAGACACGGCCCAAACUCCUACGGGAGGCAGCAGUGGGGAAUCUUGCGCAAUGGGCGAAAGCCUGACGCAGCCAUGCCGCGUGAAUGAUGAAGGUCUUAGGAUUGUAAAAUUCUUUCACCGGGGACGAUAAUGACGGUACCCGGAGAAGAAGCCCCGGCUAACUUCGUG